rnacentral:rRNA from 1 species
UACGUAGGGUGCAAGCGUUAAUCGGAAUUACUGGGCGUAAAGCGUCUGUAGGUGGCUUUUCAAGUCCGCCGUCAAAUCCCAGGGCUCAACCCUGGACAGGCGGUGGAAACUGCCAAGCUGGAGUACGGUAGGGGCAGAGGGAAUUUCCGGUGGAGCGGUGAAAUGCGUAGAGAUCGGAAAGAACACCAACGGCGAAAGCACUCUGCUGGGCCGACACUGACACUGAGAGACGAAAGCUAGGGGAGCGAAUGGG